GGAUAGCUCAGUUGGUAGAGCAGGGGACUGAAAAUCCUCGUG
rnacentral:tRNA from 1 species